UGGCGGACGGGUGAGUAAUGUCUGGGAAACUGCCUGAUGGAGGGGGAUAACUACUGGAAACGGUAGCUAAUACCGCAUAACGUCGCAAGACCAAAGAGGGGGACCUUCGGGCCUCUUGCCAUCGGAUGUGCCCAGAUGGGAUUAGCUAGUAGGUGGGGUAACGGCUCACCUAGGCGACGAUCCCUAGCUGGUCUGAGAGGAUGACCAGCCACACUGGAACUGAGACACGGCCCAG
rnacentral:rRNA from 1 species